rnacentral:rRNA from 1 species
GAUGAACGCUGGCGGCGUGCUUAACACAUGCAAGUCGAACGGAAAGGCUCCUGCUUGCAGGGGUACUCGAGUGGCGAACGGGUGAGUAACACGUGGGUGAUCUGCCCUGCACUUCGGGAUAAGCCUGGGAAACUGGGUCUAAUACCGGAUAGGACGAUGGUUUGGAUGCCAUUGUGGAAAGUUUUUCGGUGUGGGAUGAGCUCGCGGCCUAUCAGCUUGUUGGUGGGGUAAUGGCCUACCAAGGCGUCGACGGGUAGCCGGCCUGAGAGGGUGUACGGCCACAUUGGGACUGAGAUACGGCCCAGACUCCUACGGGAGGCAGAAGUGGGGAAUAUUGCACAAUGGGCGCAAGCCUGAUGCAGCGACGCCGCGUGGGGGAUGACGGCCUUCGGGUUGUAAACUCCUUUCGCUAGGGACGAAGCGCAAGUGACGGUACCCGGAGAAGAAGCACCGGCUAACUACGUG